UCCUUGGUAUCCUUAAUUCAAGGGCAAAGG
rnacentral:piRNA from 1 species